rnacentral:lncRNA from 1 species
GAGAACUGCUGGAUUUUGCUUUCUUAACUCUUUUGCUGUUGCUACUGAAAAAAGAGAGUAACUUGGACAAUGAAAUAAUCUCAAAUGAGGUGGCUUUAUUUUUGCAUAUGUUGGAGGUCCUCUGUGAAUCACUGUGUGCAGAGAAUGCUUCUUUGUAAGAAGAUGGAAUAGUUUUUGUGACUGGUUACUGUCCCACUGUCCUUCCACCAGUGGCUUGGUCCCCUGUGAUCUGGGAGCUCAUCCUUGCAGGCAGCUCCAAGUGACAGAGUGGCCUCAGUGUGUGACAACUGAUAUCCAGAUGCUGGCAGUGCUUGGAAGAAGUUGCUAUUCUGCAUCCUGGCCAGUGAUCACGGGGCAAGCUGGAGAGAAAUGGAACAGAGGAUAUCUCCCCCAAAAUAAGGCUUUUCUACAGAAAGAGGAGGAGGUACAUGACCCCUCUCUGAAGUGUUCCAUGGUAACCUUAUUCCUGGACACACACACACACACACACACACACACACACACACACCUGAUACAGCCCUUGGACUCUUUAAGGCAAAAGACAUUAGAAAAUUUUCUAUCUCUAUUAACCAAAUUUAAGCUGGACUAUUAGUGACAAAAAAUCCAGCACUACAGUGGCCUGAACUAAACUGAAGUUUAUUUCUCCCAUAAAUAUAGGUUGUCCUGAGCUGGCAUGCCAGUUCUGCAGUCAUCAGGAAGCCAGACUCCAUGUCUCUUGUUGCUCUUCAUCUUCCACAUGAAGCUUUUGCCUUGUGGUCCAAAAGGGCUGCUCAGGCUCCAGCCAUUAUGCUCACAUUCUAGCCAGUAGAAAAAGGGAAGGGAAGGAGUUGGGAUCUCUCUCUUUCAGGGCUCUGUCCAGAAAUCACAUGUUCCAACUGCACUUACCGUAUCCUCUUACUUGUCUUUUGACUUAGUCAUUUGACCUCACUUAGUAGCCAGGGCGGCUGGGACAUAUGGUCUUUAUUCCACACAGCUAUUUGCCCAGCGAAAGAUCAGAGAACAUACAUUAGCAUAAGAGGAGAACGUGGCAGUCUCCACCAUACCCUGCAAAACUAACCACAAAAAUUCCAGCAGAG